AUGCAUCAAACCAUCAUGGCCAUCAAGAUGGAAUCACAGACUCAGGUCUUCAUAUUUGUACUGCUUUGGUUGUAUGGUGCUUAUGGGAACAUUGUGAUGACCCAGUCUCCCAAAUCCAUGUCUACAUCAGUAGGAGAAAUGGUCAGCCUGACCUGCCAGGACAGUCAGAAUGUGGGUAGUUCUGUAUCCUGGUACCAACAGAAACCAGGGCAGUCACCUAAACCUCGGAUCUACUAUGCAUCCAACUGGUACACUGGGGUUCCUGAUUGCUUUACAGGCAGUGGAUCUGGGACAGAUUUUACUCUCACCAUCAGCAGUGCGCAGGCCAAAGACACAUCCAUUUAUUUCUGA